rnacentral:rRNA from 1 species
UACGUAGGAUGCAAGCGUUGUCCGGAAUUAUUGGGCGUAAAGAGCUCGUAGGCGGUCUGUCACGUCGGCUGUGAAAACCCGAGGCUCAACCUCGGGCCUGCAGUCGAUACGGGCAAACUAGAGUGUUGCAGGGGAGACUGGAAUUCCUGGUGUAGCGGUGAAAUGCGCAGAUAUCAGGAGGAACACCGGUGGCGAAGGCGGGUCUCUGGGCAACAACUGACGCUGAGGAGCGAAAGCGUGGGGAGCGAACAGG